rnacentral:rRNA from 1 species
AGUGAACGCUGGCGGUAGGCCUAACACAUGCAAGUCGAACGGCAGCACAGUAAGAGCUUGCUCUUACGGGUGGCGAGUGGCGGACGGGUGAGGAAUACAUCGGAAUCUACUUUUUCGUGGGGGAUAACGUAGGGAAACUUACGCUAAUACCGCAUACGACCUACGGGUGAAAGCAGGGGAUCUUCGGACCUUGCGCGAUUGAAUGAGCCGAUGUCGGAUUAGCUAGUUGGCGGGGUAAAGGCCCACCAAGGCGACGAUCCGUAGCUGGUCUGAGAGGAUGAUCAGCCACACUGGAACUGAGACACGGUCCAGACUCCUACGGGAGGCAGCAGUGGGGAAUCUUGGGCAAUGGGCGAAAGCCUGAUCCGGCCAUACCGCGUGGGUGAAGAAGGCCUUCGGGUUGUAAAACCCUUUUGUUGGGAAAGAAAAACAGCAGGUUAAUACCCCGCUGUUCUGACGGUACCCAAAGAAUAAGCACCGGCUAACUUCGUG